rnacentral:rRNA from 1 species
AUUGAACGCUGGCGGUAGGCCUAACACAUGCAAGUCGAGCGGAUGAAGGGAGCUUGCUCCUGGAUUCAGCGGCGGACGGGUGAGUAAUGCCUAGGAAUCUGCCUGGUAGUGGGGGAUAACGUCCGGAAACGGGCGCUAAUACCGCAUACGUCCUGAGGGAGAAAGUGGGGGAUCUUCGGACCUCACGCUAUCAGAUGAGCCUAGGUCGGAUUAGCUAGUUGGUGGGGUAAAGGCCUACCAAGGCGACGAUCCGUAACUGGUCUGAGAGGAUGAUCAGUCACACUGGAACUGAGACACGGUCCAGACUCCUACGGGAGGCAGCAGUGGGGAAUAUUGGACAAUGGGCGAAAGCCUGAUCCAGCCAUGCCGCGUGUGUGAAGAAGGUCUUCGGAUUGUAAAGCACUUUAAGUUGGGAGGAAGGGCAGUAAGUUAAUACCUUGCUGUUUUGACGUUACCAACAGAAUAAGCACCGGCUAGCUUCGUG